rnacentral:rRNA from 1 species
UACGUAGGGGGCGAGCGUUAUCCGGAUUCAUUGGGCGUAAAGCGCGCGUAGGCGGCCGCCUAAGCGGAACCUCUAAUCCCGGGGCUCAACCUCGGGCCGGGUUCCGGACUGGGCGGCUCGAGUGCGGUAGAGGCAGGCGGAAUUCCCGGUGUAGCGGUAGAAUGCGCAGAUAUCGGGAAGAACACCGAUGGCGAAGGCAGCCUGCUGGGCCGACACUGACGCUGAGGCGCGAAAGCUGGGGGAGCGAACAGG